rnacentral:rRNA from 1 species
CGGAAUUAUUGGGCGUAAAGAGCUCGUAGGCGGCGUGUCGCGUCUGCUGUGAAAGACCGGGGCUUAACUCCGGUUCUGCAGUGGAUACGGGCAUGCUAGAGGUAGGUAGGGGAGACUGGAAUUCCUGGUGUAGCGGUGAAAUGCGCAGAUAUCAGGAGGAACACCGGUGGCGAAGGCGGGUCUCUGGGCCUUACCUGACGCUGAGGAGCGAAAGCAUGGGGAGCGAACAGGAUUAGAUACCCUGGUAGUCCAUGCCGUAAACGUUGGGCGCUAGGUGUGGGGACUUUCCACGGUUUCCGCGCCGUAGCUAACGCAUUAAGCGCCCCGCCUGGGGAGUACGGCCGCAAGGCUAAAACUCAAAGGAAUUGACGGGGGCCCGCACAAGCGGCGGAGCAUGUUGCUUAAUUCGACGCAACGCGAAGAACCUUACCAAGGUUUGACAUCACCCGUGGACUCGCAGAGAUGUGAGGUCAUUUAGUUGGCGGGUGACAGGUGGUGCAUGGCUGUCGUCAGCUCGUGUCGUGAGAUGUUGGGUUAAGUCCCGCAACGAGCGCAACCCUUGUUCCAUGUUGCCAGCACGUAAUGGUGGGGACUCAUGGGAGACUGCCGGGGUCAACUCGGAGGAAGGUGGGGAUGACGUCAAGUCAUCAUGCCCCUUAUGUCUUGGGCUGCAAACAUGCUACAAUGGCCGGUACAAUGGGCGUGCGAUACCGUAAGGUGGAGCGAAUCCCUAAAAGCCGGUCUCAGUUCGGAUUGGGGUCUGCAACUCGACCCCAUGAAGGUGGAGUCGCUAGUAAUCGCGGAUCAGCAACGCCGCGGUGAAUACGUUCCCGGGCCUUGUACACACCGCCCGUCACGUCAUGAAAGUCGGCAACACCCGAAACUUGCGGCCUAACCCCUUGGGGAGGGA